GCCUUUAGCCAAACAAGUAUUAAAGGUGUUGCCUGCCCAGUGAAACUUUUCAACGGCCGCGGUAUCCUAACCGUGCAAAGGUAGCGUAAUCACUUGUCUUUUAAAUAAAGACUAGUAUGAAAGGCUAAAUGAAGACGAAACUGUCUCUUAUAGCAAACCAGUAAAACUGAUCUCCGAGUACAAAAGCUCGAAUAAACCCAUAAGACGAGAAGACCCUGUGGAGCUUAAAACUAAUGCUAUCUACAGAAUAACACAAGUUUUAAGUUGGGGCGACUUCGGAACAAAACAAAACUUCCGAGCACAGAGCCAACCACUCUAAUCUAGACCAACAAGUCAAAGAAUAAUAAUGACCCAGUCUUACUGAACAACGAACCAAGUUACCCCAGGGAUAACAGCGCCAUCUUCUUCAAGAGUCCCUAUCGACAAGAAGGUUUACGACCUCGAUGUUGGAUCAGGACACCCAAAUGGUGCAGCAGCUAUUAAAGGUUCGUUUGUUCAACGAUUAACAGUC
rnacentral:rRNA from 1 species